rnacentral:rRNA from 1 species
UACGGAAGGCAGCAGUGGGGAAUAUUGCACAAUGGGCGCAAGCCUGAUGCAGCCAUGCCGCGUGUAUGAAGAAGGCCUUCGGGUUGUAAAGUACUUUCAGCGGGGAGGAAGGCGAUGCGGUUAAUAACCGCGUCGAUUGACGUUACCCGCAGAAGAAGCACCGGCUAACUCCGUGCCAGCAGCCGCGGUAAUACGGAGGGUGCAAGCGUUAAUCGGAAUUACUGGGCGUAAAGCGCACGCAGGCGGUCUGUUAAGUCAGAUGUGAAAUCCCCCGGGCUUAACCUGGGAACUGCAUUUUGAAACUGGCAGGCUUGAGUCUUGUAGAGGGGGUGAAUUCCAGGUGUAGCGGUGAAAUGCGUAGAGAUCUGGAGGAAUACCGGUGGCGAAGGCGGCCCCUGGGACAAAGACUGACGCUCAGGGUGCGAAAGCGUGGGGAGCAAACGAGGAUUAGGAUACC